rnacentral:rRNA from 1 species
CCUACGGGCGGCAGCAGUGAGGAAUAUUGGUCAAUGGACGAGAGUCUGAACCAGCCAAGUAGCGUGAAGGAUGACUGCCCUAUGGGUUGUAAACUUCUUUUAUAAAGGAAUAAAACGAGGCACGUGUGCCUUUUUGCAUGUACUUUAUGAAUAAGGAUCGGCUAACUCCGUGCCAGCAGCCGCGGUAAUACGGAGGAUCCGAGCUUUAUCCGGAUUUAGUGGGUUUAAAGGGAGCGUAGAUGGGUUGUUAAGUCAGUUGUGAAAGUUUGCGGCUCAACCGUAAAAUUGCAAUUGAUACUGGCAGUCUUGAGUACAGUAGAGGUAGGCGGAAUUCGUGGUGUAGCGGUGAAAUGCUUAGAUAUCACGAAGAACCCCGAUUGCGAAGGCAGCUUACUAAACUGUGACUGACAUUGAUGCGCGAAAGUGUGGGUAUCAAACAGGAUUAGAUACCCUGGUAGUC